AACGAACGCUGGCGGCAUGCCUAACACAUGCAAGUCGAACGAGACCUUCGGGUCUAGUGGCGCACGGGUGCGUAACGCGUGGGAAUCUACCCUUGGGUUCGGAAUAACAGUUAGAAAUGACUGCUAUACCGGAUGAUGACGAAAGUACAAAGAUUUAUCGCCAGAGGAUGAGCCCGCGUAGGAUUAGCUAGUUGGUGUGGUAAAGGCGCACCAAGGCGACGAUCCUUAGCUGGUCUGAGAGGAUGAUCAGCCACACUGGGACUGAGACACGGCCCAGACUCCUACGGGAGGCAGCAGUGGGGAAUAUUGGACAAUGGGCGAAAGCCUGAUCCAGCAAUGCCGCGUGAGUGAUGAAGGCCUUAGGGUUGUAAAGCUCUUUUACCCGGGAUGAUAAUGACAGUACCGGGAGAAUAAGCUCCGGCUAACUCCGUGCCAGCCGCCGCGGUAA
rnacentral:rRNA from 1 species